rnacentral:rRNA from 1 species
AUUGAACGCUGGCGGCAUGCCUUACACAUGCAAGUCGAACGGCAGCACGGGAGCUUGCUCCUGGUGGCGAGUGGCGAACGGGUGAGUAAUACAUCGGAACGUACCCUGAAGUGGGGGAUAACGUAGCGAAAGUUACGCUAAUACCGCAUAUUCUGUGAGCAGGAAAGAGGGGGAUCGCAAGACCUCUUGCUUUAGGAGCGGCCGAUGUCGGAUUAGCUAGUUGGUGAGGUAAAGGCUCACCCAAGGCGACGAUCCGUAGCGGGUCUGAGAGGAUGAUCCGCCACACUGGGACUGAGACACGGCCCAGACUCCUACGGAGGCAGCAGUGGGGAAUUUUGGAC